rnacentral:misc_RNA from 1 species
AACGUAAAUGUGUUUUCCAUGUCUGAUGCGCCUUUCAGUGGGUGAUAGUCUAAAAAAUUCUGAAGAAAUUCACAUAAUGUCUUCGGGAGGGAUUGUAGGUUAUUUGGCUAUUAGAAAAGAGGGUGUCGACCUGAAAAAGGUUGGGAAACACUGUUCUAUACGUUGUCCGACGCGAUAGCUGGCAAGUCUCGUGGCAAAGAGGAAAGUCUGGCUAACGAGGGAGCCAAGAACAGCUUACUUGGCGGAGGCAGACCAUUUUCGAAAGUUCGCCGAGUUGUGUAACAAACUUUACUCAGGAUUGGUGGCCCGAAGGGACGGGUGGGGCUGGCAAAACGCGACAGACAGAGAAAGACCCAAAACCUCCUAUAUAGAAACAUCACUAUAUACAGGGUGUCGCAUACAACUAGAUCAAGAAAGAUUUAUCUAGAAUUUUUUAAUGUGUGUUUAUCUGGACUUUUUGAAUUUAAAUUUGAAGAAAUAUAAUAGAUUAUUGAUCUAAGA